CAGCAGCCGCGGUAAUACGUAGGUGGCAAGCGUUGUCCGGAAUUAUUGGGCGUAAAGGGCUCGCAGGCGGUUUCUUAAGUCUGAUGUGAAAGCCCCCGGCUCAACCGGGGAGGGUCAUUGGAAACUGGGAAACUUGAGUGCAGAAGAGGAGAGUGGAAUUCCACGUGUAGCGGUGAAGUGCGUAGAGAUGUGGAGGAACACCAGUGGCGAAGGCGACUCUCUGGUCUGUAACUGACGCUGAGGAGCGAAAGCGUGGGGAGCGAACAGGAUUAGAUACCCCAGUAGUCCCUGUCUCUUAUAC
rnacentral:rRNA from 1 species